rnacentral:lncRNA from 1 species
ACCUUUGGUAGUUCAGGAGUGUGUUGUAUAAACUUCACAUAUUUGUGAAUUUUGUAAUUUUCCUUUUUCUGUGAAUGCCUAGUUUCUUGCCACUGCAGUCAGGAAAGAAGCUUGAUAUUUUUCUUCUUUAGUUUGCUAAGAUUUGACUUUUUGAACUAACAUAUGAUCUACCCUAGAGGAUGAGUCAUGUAUUAUGAAUACACUUGAGAAGAACGUGUAUUAUGCUGCUGUUGGAUGAAAACAUCUGUAUAUGUCUCUUAUGCUUAUAUGGCAUAAAGUAUAAUCAAAAUAUUGAUUGUUUAUUCAUAUGACCUAUCCAUUGUUGAAAGUGAGGCAUUGAAGCCCCCUACUAUUAUUGUGUUGCUUUCUACUUAUCCUUUCAGAUUGAUUAAUAUUUGCUCAAUAUAUUUAGGUGCCCUGAUGUUGGAUGCUUAAAUAUUUACAAUGUCCUCUUGAUGGCAUUGGUAAUAAUGCCCUUCUUUGUCUCAUUACAAUUUUUGACUUAAAGUCUCUUUUGUCUGGUAUCAGUAUAGCUACCUUUGCUUUCCUUCAUUUGCCAUCUUCAUGGAAUAUAUUUUUCCAUUCCUUAAAUUUCAGUCUAUAUGUGUCCUUAAGCCUGAAAUGAGUCUCCUGUAUGAAGCAUAUAGUUAGGUCUUGUUUGUUUACCUAUUCAGCCACUCUAUGUCUUUCAGUUGAAGAAUUUACUGCAAGCCAGGAUGAGAAGGCACAGGAAGUCCAUUCCACGUGUCCAUUCAAACUCCUAAGGACUACACAUGAUGUGUCCUGACAGCUCCCAGACAAAGCUAAUUAGAAGCCUGACCCUUGGGCAGUAACUAGAAAAGUUAUGCAGGUCAACUUCUUCAGGAAGAAACAGGGAAUCUUAAUUCUGCAUGCUCUGGGAACUGCUUGAAUACCCAUUUUAAAACCACUUUCUUGUUUAAUGUGAUUCUAUAGGACUGACAAUUGUUGCGCCCCAUUGGGUUUCUGGGCUGGAUGAUUUGGGAACCCACCCAUUGGUGGCACCCAUAGAACUAGAAGUGCUAGAUAUGUGGACAAGCUUUUUCCAGAGAGAAGCUUGAGACUUGGUUUUAUUAUUGGAGCAAGCUGCAGGUAGAAGGCAAGGAAGUGCUCACAAGCUUGAUAAGUCAAGCUCCUGGGUGGAUCCCAGUCAGCUUCCACAUGAAGGCAGAUUAGGAGCCUGAUAAUCAGGCAGUAGCUAGGAAAAUAUGCAAGCUCCUUCUAGGAAGAACUGGAAGCUUUGAGGUUUUUGCCUGUUCCCUUUGUGCUAAGCUGAGUUGGGGAGAUAGCCUUAAGGAGGGUUCAUGUGCCUGUUUAAAAACUUUCUCUUGCUUUAAUGUUGCAGCCAUAAAAAGAAUGUAUACAUGUAUGUGUAACUGGGUCACCAUGCUGUAUAGUAGAAAAAAAAAAUUGUAUUGGGGAAAUAACAAUGAAAAAAUUAAAAAAAAAAAAAGCUAGAGUGCUACCCAUGUGGUUCAAUCCAUUCACUCCUCAGGGAGGAACUGGGAGCUGUGGGGGGUUCCCUCCCAAUUGUAAGGCUCAAUGCUGGAGACUGUGCUUGGUGGUGCAAGUGUGUGUUAGUCUUUCCCUUUUGAUGCGGGUAUUGCAUGAUGUGGAGGAAUCAUUGAGCUAGUGUCUGGAUUUAUCUCACAGGGAAUUGAGACCUGUGAAACUAUAUUUUCCUUUCACCUCUAUGGAAGAAGAAAAAGACAGGAGCCUCCUCUUGUGCACCUUGCUCCUGCUAUCCAAGAAAGUGAAUUUUUAAUUCUAAUGAUUUUAAAUUUAAAUAGCCACAUGUGGCUAAUUGCUACCACUUUGGACAGUGCAAUUUUAUACCAUCUAUAGAAAUCAUGUGCUACAAAUAUUCAAGCUCAGAAUAAAAAUUCUAAUAUACUCUCAAAGCUCAAAGGAAAAGGUAUAUUUAAAAUUAUAUUAACUAAAAAGAAAUCCAAACUAAGACUUUUUUUAAAAUAUUUUUAAUGCAUAGAUACAAAUAAGGAAAGUUGCCAGGAUGACUUAUGGUAUGCGUCUUACCAUAAAACUUAGUAUACCAGAAAAUAUAUUGAC